AGUGAACGCUGGCGGCGUGCUUAACACAUGCAAGUCGAACGAGAACGGAUUAUAGCUUGCUAUAAUUGUCAGCUAAGUGGCGCACGGGUGAGUAAUGUAUAGGUAAUAUGCCUCUUACUAAGGGAUAACAAAUGGAAACAUUUGCUAAUACCUUAUACUCCUUAUUAACAGAAGUUAAUAAGGGAAAGAUUUAUUGGUAAGAGAUUAGCCUGUAUUGUAUCAGUUAGUUGGUGGGGUAAUGGCUUACCAAGACUAUGACACAUAACUGGUUUGAGAGGAUGAUCAGUCACACUGGAACUGAGACACGGUCCAGACUCCUACGGGAGGCAGCAGUGGGGAAUAUUGCACAAUGGACGAAAGUCUGAUGCAGCAACGCCGCGUGGAGGAUGACACAUUUCGGUGCGUAAACUCCUUUUAUAUGAGAAGAUAAUGACGGUAUUAUAUAAAUAAGCACCGGCUAACUCCGUGCCAGCCGCCGCAGUAA
rnacentral:rRNA from 1 species